GGACCAUCAUGUCGGUCGUGCCUCGCUACGUACCGGCAUUGUUGGUUUCUCCCUUCUGACGAACCACGAUGUCAUUUAUUUGGUGUUGUGGGGAAUCAGGACUGUUACUUUGAAAAAAUUAGAGUGUUUAAAGCAGGCUCACGCUUGAAUACAUUAGCAUGGAAUAAUAAAAUAGGACUUUGGUUCUAUUUUGUUGGCUUCUAGGAUUGACGUA
rnacentral:rRNA from 1 species